UACGAAGGGGGCAAGUGUUAUCCGGAAUCACUGGGCGUAAAGCGUCUGUAGGUGGUUUAAUAAGUCAACUGUUAAAUCUUGAGGCUCAACCUCGAAAUCGCAGUCGAAACUAUUAGACUAGAGUAUAGUAGGGGUAAAGGGAAUUUCCAGUGGAGCGGUGAAAUGCGUAGAUAUUGGAAAGAACACCGAUGGCGAAGGCACUUUACUGGGCUAUUACUAACACUGAGAGACGAAAGCUAGGGUAGCAAAUGGG
rnacentral:rRNA from 1 species